GUGGGGGGUGGGGGGGGGGACCAAAUAUUGUUGAAUUGACCUCUGCCUUCUCCAUAAGCUUCACUGUAAGAUGAAGUAAAUUUCUCAUACUCCCUCCUAUGCGCAUGCAUUGAUGGUUUUACUGCCGUACUGUGAAUUUUAGAUGCGCUACUUGGUAAUCCCUUCACUUGAUACCUGCAGAUUGAGGCCUUGUAGCUUUGUGCACUAAUGCACUUUACCCACCAUAAGGUGUUGUAAGUUUGUGCGCAUGCUUAGACCUAUAGACGUUUGAUUUUAUCAAUUAGUUUUGUUCAAAUUUGGCACAGCUGGCAAUUGUAAAGAUAUUGAAUAACAGGGAUACAUGUGAUGUGAUGACAUAUUACUCUUUUUGCUUGCAGGUAUAUCACUUGCGGGUGAUGAGGAACUUCUAGCUGGUCCAAAAGAGGCACAGGCACCUAAGAGAGAUGAAUGGAUGACCACACUGCCACCUGAGAGAAAAGUAAAUGAUAAAAAAUAAUUACUUGUUCAACAUUCACCAAAAUAUGCUUACUUUGUGUUCUCUUACAUUUAUGUAAACAAUAUAUUUUUCUUCUCACAGGCAGGAGUGCCUAUGCAUUCUACUAAAUCAUUUAGUAUGAAUGGUAAAGAAGGACGAGGAGACACAAGUGUCUGGACUGAUACUCCUCUUGAUAGAGCGCAAAAAGCACAACAAAGGUCAGUAUUAUUAUAGUAUUUAUUCUUGUUUAUGAUCAUUUGUUUGACAUUUUUCGUACCUGCUAGUGUGGUGGAAUUAAUUGGCAUCAUGUGCACAGUACUGGACAAAAAGCCCAUAUAGCAUAUUUGGAUUCAUGUGUUGCAACCUACAUGUAGAGCCACCAUACAAAGUAUUCAGAUUCCACUUAUUUCCUAAGGCUGGGUGCUGCAAACAAUAAAUCAAUGAGAAAUGCUUUUACACCCAUUUAGAAGUUGUCUCAAUCACGUUUGCUCAUAGAAAUGAUGAAAAAUGCAAACUACCAGGCAAAUGAAUGCAGCAACUGGGCACUGGGUGCUUACUUGUGUGUUUUGGGCUUACAUCGCUGUACGCAAUCAUGAGGCUAAAAUAGUGGCUUUGCUGGAUGAUAUGGUUGCAGUUUCUGAACAACCUGUAGGUAAGAGUGAUGGAAAUUUGAACUUUGAGUGGAGGGAAUGGGAAAUGACGGGAGGGAAGAAUUCAAUCCCAUGUUCGGAUUAUAGGAAUGGAAAAUGAGAAGGGAUAGGGAUAGGGAAAGGGAAAUGUGGGCAUCUUUUCCCACCAUUGGGUUACGACGGGAAAUACGCCAACGCAAGCGAGAUGCUGUGGCUGCAGCUGCUUGCCUCUCUCGUCACCGCAAGCCAGAGCUCCACCUCGCAUCCCGCGCAGGCUGCCGGAGCCGCACCUCGCCCCACCAUCGCGUACGGCUCGAGCCGUCACCAUAUUAGGGGCUAGAGGUGCUGCUUGCCGUGGGUGGGGACACACCUUGUGGCACAAGGCACCG
rnacentral:lncRNA from 1 species